GUCGUAGUCCGGAUUGGAGUCUGCAACUCGACUCCAUGAAGUCGGAAUCGCUAGUAAUCGUGAAUCAGAAUGUCACGGUGAAUACGUUCCCGGGCCUUGUACACACCGCCCGUCACACCAUGGGAGUGGGCUGCAAAAGAAGCAGGUAGUUUAACCUUCGGGAGGACGCUUGCCACUUUGUGGUUCAUGACUGGGGUGAAGUCGUAACAAGGUAGCGCUAGGGGAACCUGGCGCUGGAUCACCUCCUUAUACGAA
rnacentral:rRNA from 1 species